rnacentral:rRNA from 1 species
AUGUGGAAGGUUCUUGCAGCAACGGCGCUGCCGAUCCUGAUCGCGCUGCUCGCCGUUCGCGCGCGCGGCGCCGACGACUACACGGCGUUCGUGUACGCCGGGUGCUCGCAGGCGCGCUACGACGCCGGCACCCAGUACGCCGCGGACGUCGACACCGUGCUCUCGACCCUCACCGACACCGCGGCCUCCACCCCCUACGCCAACUACACCCCGCCGUCCGGCGCCACCACGGGCCUGGUCGGGCUCUACCAGUGCCGCUCCGACCUCCCCGCCGCCGUCUGCGGCGUCUGCGUCAAGGCGUCCGCCUCCAAGCUCGCCUCCCUCUGCAACUCGGCCGCCGGCGGCGCGGUGCAGCUGCGCGCGUGCUUCGUCCGCUACGGCAACGACUCGUUCCUCGGGAAGCCGGACAACACGGUGCUGUUCAAGAAGUGCGGCGGCGAGAGCGGGGACGCCGGCGUCGCGCCGCUGCGCGACGCGGCGCUCGGCGCGCUCCAGGCCGCGUCGUCCCCCGCGGCCGACGGCUCGUACCGCGCCGGCGCGGCCGGGUACGUGCAGGCCAUGUCGCAGUGCGUGGGGGACCUCGGCGCCAAGGCCUGCACCGACUGCGUCUCCGUCGCCGCCUCGCAGCUCAAGGCCGGCUGCGGCGACGCCUCCGCCGGGGAGGUCUACCUCGGCAAGUGCUACGCGCGCUUCUGGUCCAAUGCCGGCGCCGGCGCCGGCGGGGCCACCCCCGGUGGAGGCAACGUCAUCGGCGGCGGCAACGCCGGCCCCAUCGGUGACGGCGGCAAUGGCAUCGCUGGAGGAGGCAAUGGCAUCGCCGGCGGCGGCACCGUCGGCGUUCCGGGCGCAGGCAGCGGAUACGGAUACGGGUUCGUGCCGCGCCCGUACGGCGACGUCCAAGAUGGUUCCGGGAAGACCCUCGCCAUCAUCAUCGGCAUCGUGGCGGCGGCGGCCAUCAUCAUCAUCUUCCUCUCCUUCAUCCGAAGAGCCCGCGCCGCCAACGGCAAAAGCUAA